GCUUUAAUAGUUCAAAUAGAAUCCUAACCUUGUAAGUUGGAGAUGUUUUUCUUAAAGCA
rnacentral:tRNA from 1 species